rnacentral:rRNA from 1 species
GAUGAACGCUGGCGGCGUGCCUAAUACAUGCAGGUCGAGCGAACAGACGAGGAGCUUGCUCCUCUGACGUUAGCGGCUGACGGGUGAGUAACACGUGGAUAACCUACCUAUAAGACUGGGAUAACUUCGGGAAACCGGAGCUAAUACCGGAUAAUAUAUUGAACCUCAUGGUUCAAUAGUGAAAGACGGUUUUGCUGUCACUUAUAGAUGGAUCCUCGCCGCAUUAUCUAGUUGGUAAGGUAACGGCAUACCAAGGGAACGAUGCGUAACCGACCUGAUAGGGGGAACGGCAAAAAUGGAAAAGAGACACGGAACAGACAACUACGGGAGGCAGCAGUAGGGAAUAUUCCGAAAUGGGCGAAAGCAUGACGGAGCAAAGCCGCGUGAGUGAUGAAGGUCUUCGGAUCGUAAAACUCUGUUAUUAGGGAAGAACAAAUGUGUAAGUAACUAUGCACGUAUUGACGGUACCUAAUCAGAAAGCCACGGCUAACUACGUG